UUAUUGAGCCCAACACAACUG
rnacentral:piRNA from 1 species